GACUAAAGAAGAAGCUAUUGGCAACACUAAUUUUACGGAAGUCAAUAUUGCGGUUUAAUUGCUGAGCAAUGUUUGUGUUGUUAGGGUGAACUUGUGUUAGCUCUUCGGUUUCUCGUUGAAAUACUCAAAGCGCUGCCUCAAAUAUGGGUUGUGGAUUAGUUCCAUGGGCAUCAGUCCUGUGUGAACUAAUGACACCAGAUCCAUGUUAUUCUAAAGCUGUGGAAAUGCAGCGCUGUCUAAAAGCCAAUCGAUAUCAGGAAGGAGUAUGCUUUGGAGCAAUGGUCCUGAUGGAUAAAUGUUGCUCUAGAUGGAAGGAAAGGUCUCCUUGUUGCUCAACAUAUGAACGAUCCAGACCAAAACAUAAGACUCAUUAUGCUGAUAAUGAAAAGAUUAAUAAAGAUCAUUUUAUGCUCACUGAAUUAUUUCUUUGCCACUGAGUACAUUUUUGGCCAUAAACUGUAUAAAACUGUAUAGUUUAGGAACUGUUUUCUUGCAGUUAUUGGAAAUAGUUUAGUUUUUAAAAUGUCUUUGGUAUGUUUAUUACAUGAAGCAGAGAGAUAAAAUUAAGUGAAUUUAAAAAUUUCUGUUGGUGACAAUUUAUUUAUCUGAACACCUUGUCUUUCAGCUAUUUAUCUUUUCUAGUCUUAUCUUUGAUAUAAUUUAAGUAGCCUAAAAAUGAGAUUAGGAGUGAAAUUAAAGUAAUGUAUAGUUAGUUAAUGAGUAUUAUUAUGUUUGUGUAUAUAGUGUUUUUGCGUAAAAGCAAAAGUCCUUUUUAUUUUCCUGUUGUAUUCUCAGUUCCAAAAUUGGAAGGAAUGUUAAUGUUGUUUGUCUGCACAUUUUUUUCCUUAUUACUAAAUCUUUGUUUCUUGAUAUAAAUUACUCUGCAUUUUAAAUACUCAGCAAAAUUACCUGAAUAAUUUAAGUUAUUGUAUAUAUUUUUUUUAAUUUUAAUUAUUAAGGUAUCUUUUAAACAUUAUAUAAAAAGUAAAUUUCAAGAUGUAAGAAAAGAUCUUUCAUGUUCACUUUAAAAUUACUCAAAUUGUGUAAUAUAUUUUUUGCACUGUAGUUUGAGACUUAAAGUUGUGCUAUUAAACUAUCUUGAAUUCGA